rnacentral:rRNA from 1 species
AUACGGAAGGUCCGGGCGUUAUCCGGAUUUAUUGGGUUUAAAGGGAGCGCAGGCGGAGAUGCAAGCGUGACGUCAAAUUUCGGGGCUCAACCCCGUCUCGCGUCGCGAACUGCGUCCCUUGGUUGCGGGAAGGGGAGGCGGAACUCGUGGUGUAGCGGUGAAAUGCAUAGAUAUCACGAAGAACUCCGAUCGCGAAGGCAGCCUUCCGGCCCGUCAACGUCGCUCAUGCUCGAAGGUGCGGGUAUCAAACAGGAUUAGAUACCCUGGUAGUCCGCACAGUAAACGAUGGACACCCGCGGUUUGGCCUGUAUGGCUGAGCCGCCAAGCGAAAGCGUUAAGUGUCCCACCUGGGGAGUACGCCGGCAACGGUGAAACUCAAAGGAAUUGACGGGG